rnacentral:rRNA from 1 species
GACGUAGGGCGCGAGCGUUGUCCGGAUUUAUUGGGCGUAAAGAGCUCGUAGGCGGUUUGUCGCGUCGUUCGUGAAAACUCACAGCUUAACUGUGAGCUUGCGGUCGAUACGGGCAGGCUAGAGUUCGGUAGGGGAGACUGGAAUUCCUGGUGUAGCGGUGAAAUGCGCAGAUAUCAGGAGGAACACCGGUGGCGAAGGCGGGACUCUGGGCCGAUACUGACGCUGAGGAGCGAAAGCGUGGGGAGCAAACAGG